rnacentral:rRNA from 1 species
GACGAACGCUGGCGGCGUGCUUAACACAUGCAAGUCGAGCGGUAAGGCCCUUUCGGGGUACGACGAGCGGCGAACGGGUGAGUAACACGUGGGUGACCUGCCCUCCAGCUCUGGGAGUAAGCCUCGGGAAACCGGGUACUAAUAACUGGAUAUGACUCCAUGACGCAUGUUGGUGGGGUGGAAAGCCUUGUGCGGCUGAGGAUGGGCCCGCGGCCUAU